AAAAAAAAUCUAUGUGCUUUUUUGGUUUUUGCUUUUUUUGAUAUUUGAACAAUUAGAUUUUUAUUUGUCACCACUCUUCAUGGUUCACAAACCCAUUGCAAACAAUACUAGAAUGAGGGUUGAGAGAUUCAGACAGAGGCCAUGCACUUGCUUUGCAGCCCCUAAAUAUUUACCCCAGAGAAAUCAUCUGGAGCAAAAAAUAACAUUGACAGAUGAGAUGCCCUAAUCAUGUGUUACACCAACUGCUGUAAAGGAGAAAACAGGAAUGUCACUGAAGUAUUGCAGUGAAGCUGUUUCCCUUCCAGGGCAAGAAGAAUGGGAGUUGGCCAGUUCUUUGUGUCAACCCAAGAACUUCUAGUAGGACCAUGUGGACGCAGAUCAGGGAGCUCUGCCAUUACCUCUGUACUCCAUGCCUGCCACAGCUUGAGUACAGUAGGAAAAGGGGCCCAGAUUUCACAAUCCAUAAUUUUUAAUUUAUGCAGCAUUACCAGUAUUCUGAAAUAGCUUCUAGCUUCAUGUGGAGAAGGAAAAUUCAUUGUGUUACUGCAAUGAGCAAAAUGCAUUGCUUCUGGCAUCUGAAUCUGAAAUUUAGUGUAAAGGCCACUUCUUGUUGCAGGACCAAAUUCUGCCAAGUUAAUUUUGGGAUGACAUUUAAUUUUAAGAGAAGUUAUAUUGUCCCUCUGAGAAUUUGAGCUUCACAAGAUUCUAUUUCUUUAAAACCAGCAAAUGCAGCACUGUAAUUAGGGUGCAGAGCAUGGCAGGUAGCACAGGAAUUCAGUGCUCACAUUAUUUUCCUGGGAAGUCUUAUGAACUCAUCCUAACUUUGGACAGGUUAAAAUUAGUUGAGUGGAUACUCCAUGUGUCUAAUUUCAGAUCUAUCCACGCUGCUUAGCAGAAGGCUCAAGAAACUUUCCAUACUAAAGAUGAAGAUGGUUCCCUUCAUGGUAAAGCAUUGGUACCAUCCGAUGAGCAAAAAAAAAUAUUUGUGUUGCAGAUAAGGAGGGCAAACAGUAGUGGGUAAGUGAGCAAGAAAGCAAACAGAAUGGAGCAUCUGGAAAUAAGAGAAAUAUCCUAGCUCCUGGGUAGCAAUUCAACCCCUCUUGGUCAUCAGUGCUGUGUUGGGCUGCUUCAGGAGUAAGGUGAAUUUGUUCUGCUGUCAUCAACACCCAUGUCUGCUACACACCAGCUUUAUUGUAGCUUCCCAAGGAAACUUGCAGUGUGCUUGCUCUGCAACAAAACCUGGAAACAGUUUUUCAGAAUCCUACCUAGAAAUUUUAAAUCCUUUCAUUGUUGUUCUAUAUUACAUCAUAUUCUAUUUUAUUACUUGUGUGGGCUGUCGAGGGCCUCAUAACUGUGCUAGUGCUUUCAUCCUUUCCUUUUCCACUGUAUAUUUUAUUAAGACCUCUUUUAUAUUUUUGUAGCUUUCAUGCUGAUGCAGGCACUAGUUUUAUUUCCAGAUUGAUUCUGUAAACUAAAUAUUGUUCUUGAGCCUGGUAGCAAAUCAGCUCUCUCUGGCUAGUAUUUUGAAUUCCCAGCUCAGGAGUUUUCUUUAUUUAGAGCUUGAUUCAUAAAAAAUUUACAUGCUAUUUAAAGAUUAUUUUUUCUUGCUUUACUCUGAUGCAAGUUUAGAAUUCCCUCUUUUGCACUCAAAUAAAGAAAAAAAAGGAUAUAUUCUAUGCUUGUGAAAUCUGUUCUGUAGAAAGGUCUUCUAUUGAAAACGGAACAGGUGCAGCUUGGGCAAUUAUAUAUAAAUUGCAUUUAUCUGGCACCUUUGACCGCUUCGCUGUGCUCUGGCUGCUAAUCCAUCUCCACUGGGACUACAACUAACAUCCAAACCCCCAGGCAACUUCAAAAGAACUGCCUUCAAAAAAUAAAAACAAACUGUCACAGAAA